GAUGAACGCUGGCGGCGUGCCUAAUACAUGCAAGUCGAGCGAACGGACGAGAAGCUUGCUUCUCUGAUGUUAGCGGCGGACGGGUGAGUAACACGUGGAUAACCUACCUAUAAGACUGGGAUAACUUCGGGAAACCGGAGCUAAUACCGGAUAAUAUUUUGAACCGCAUGGUUCAAAAGUGAAAGACGGUCUUGCUGUCACUUAUAGAUGGAUCCGCGCUGCAUUAGCUAGUUGGUAAGGUAACGGCUUAUCAAGGCAACGAGGCAUAGCCGACCGGAGAGGGUGAUCGGCCACACGGGAGCUGAGACGCGGUCAAGACUCCUACGGGAGGCAGCAGUAGGGAAUCUUCCGCAGUGGGCGAAAGCCUGACGGAGCAGCGCCGAGUGAGUGGUGAAGGUCUUCGGAGCGUAAAGCUCUGUUAUUAGGGAAGAACAGAUGUGUAAGUAACUGUGCACAUAUUGACGGUACCUAAUCAGAAAGCAACGGCUAACUACGUG
rnacentral:rRNA from 1 species